AACCUAGCACACCUGCGGUGUGUACCUGCGGAGGGAUCAUUACAGAGAUUGAUGCACCAAGUGCAUCACCUCCAACCCCUUGCGAAAACAACUAUCAUGUGUUGCUUUGGCAGUGUUUCCACUGCCAGAGGUUUACAUAAAAUCAGCUGUUUGGAUGUUGUCUGAGUAAACCACGUGAAUUAUUUAAAACUUUCAACAACGGAUCU
rnacentral:misc_RNA from 1 species